AGAAAAUUCUCAAGUUAUAUUACAUACAUAUUUCUCCAAUCUUUGAAUUGAAGCUCAAACUCAUUAGCACCCACCAUGGCCACUAAAGAUGAAAAGAGGAGGUCAAGGGAAAGGGAGUAUGAGGAAGGAUUGGUGGUGAUAAAAGAGAUAAUACUCUCAAUACUUCUUUAGAAGGGAUUGAAACUCAGCCUUUCAAUUCUGAAGAUUACAUGCGAUUCUAUACGUAUCCUUUUUCAUCACAAGGUUCACUUUUGAGUUUUGAAUCAUGGGUUCUCUCUGUUUCAUUUUCUUAUUCUUGAUUUUUGCUUCAUUCUGGUCUCAAAAUUAGCAUAAUUCUUCUUUAUCAAUCAAUCUGCGAUCGGUUUCUCUGAUCUGAAGUGAGUGAUCUGGUUUUUUUCUUUGAUUUUUUUACCUGGACUUGUAUGGCUUUAAUUUGGCUGAGGCAG
rnacentral:misc_RNA from 1 species